UUUCUCUGAUUAGGGACAACUCCUUCAAAAUGGGAAGAGAAGGUCCCCGACAUAAUCCCAGUGGAUAAAACUGGUGAAGAUGUGGACAAUAAGAAAACAGAUGGAAAUCGUAACAACACACAGAAGACCUACAUUAUAGCACUGUCUGUGGCAGUCACUGGUUUUAUACUAGCCAUGAUAGGCAUCCUUGCUUUGCACUGGAGAAUCAGAAAACGAGAACCACUCCUACCUGCCACAGACCCGUGUAUAAAACAUCAUACCAAACUUCAGCCAAAUCAAGAAGGCAUUAGGAAAAACAAGGCAAAAAGAUGGGGCUGCCAUAGAUGCAGAGAACAUCAUCCACAGUCCUGUCACAGGGAAAGUUCAAGGACUAUUUCUGAGUGACAGUCUGUGUGCCCAUCUGUGCGCCUUGCCGGUCAGCUGUUGCAGCUGGAGCAGUACUCCCUUGCACCACUCCCCCCUCGGCCGCCACGCGUGCUGUGCCCAAGCUCUGAUUUCCUGCCUGCCUCGGAAGUGCAGGCAUACCUCGGAGAUACGGCUGGUGCGGUUCCAGACCACCACAAUGAAGUGAGCAUCGGAACAAAGCGAGAAACACAAUUUUUUUUUUUAGUUUCCCAGUGCAUAUAAAGGUUAUGUUUACACCAUACUGUAGUCUGUUGUGUGCAAUAGUAUUUUGUCUAAAAGAACAAUGUACAUACCUUAAUCAAAAAUACUUUAUUGCUAAAAAAUGCUAACUAUCAAUCAUCUGAGCCUUCAGCGAGUUGCAGUCUUUUUGCUGAUGGAGAGUCUUGCCUCAAUGUUGAUGGCUGCUGACUGAUCAGGGUGGUGGUUGCUGAAGACUGGGGUGGCUGUGGCAAUUUCUUAAACUAAGACAACAAUGAAGUUUGCUGCAUCGAUUGACUCUUCCUUUCACGAGCGAUUUUUCUGUGGCAUGUGAUGCUGUUUGAUAGCAUUUUACCUGCAAUAGAACUUCUUUCAAAAUUGGAGUCAGUCCUCUCAAACCCUGCCGCUGCCUUAUCAACUAAGUUUAUGCAAUAUUCUAAAUCCUUUGUUGUCAUUUCAACAGUGUUCACAGCAUCUUCACCAGGAGUAGAUUCCAUCUCAAGAAACCACUUUCUUUGCUCAUCCAUAAGUUAAAGUUUUAUCAUGAGAUUGCAGCAAUUCAGUCACAUCUUCGGGCUCCCCUUCGAACUCGUUCUCUUGUUGUUUCCACCACAUCUGCAGUUACUUUGUCCGCUGAAGUCUUGAACCCCUCGAAGUCAUCCAUGAGGGUUGGAAUCAACUUCUUCCAAAUUCCUAUUGAAGUUGAUAUUUUGGCCUCCUCCCAUGAGGCACGAAUAUUCUUAAUGGCAUCUAGAAUGGUGAAUCCUUUCCAGAAGGUUUCAAUUUACUUUGCCCAGAUGCAUCAGAGGAAUCACUAUCUAUGGCAGCUAUAGACUUACAAAACGUUAAUAAGACUUGAAAGUCGAAAUUACUCUUUGAUCAAUAGGCUGCAGAAUGGAUGUUGUGUUAGCAGGCAUGAAAACAACAUUAAUCUCAUUGUACAUCUCCAUCAGAUCUCUUGGGUGAACUAUCUAUUCCACAAGUACAAGUUUAGAAAAAUAAAACAUAAUUCCCUCUCA
rnacentral:lncRNA from 1 species